rnacentral:rRNA from 1 species
AGAACUUGAAACCGUGUGCUUACAAGUAGUCAGAGCCCGUUAAUGGGUGAUGGCGUGCCUUUUGUAGAAUGAACCGGCGAGUUACGAUCUGAUGCAAGGUUAAGCAGAAAAUGUGGAGCCGUAGCGAAAGCGAGUCUGAAUAGGGCGAAUGAGUAUUUGGUCGUAGACCCGAAACCAGGUGAUCUACCCUUGGUCAGGUUGAAGUUCAGGUAACACUGAAUGGAGGACCGAACCGACUUACGUUGAAAAGUGAGCGGAUGAACUGAGGGUAGCGGAGAAAUUCCAAUCGAACUUGGAGAUAGCUGGUUCUCUCCGAAAUAGCUUUAGGGCUAGCCUCAAGUGAUGAUUAUUGGAGGUAGAGCACUGUUUGGACGAGGGGCCCCUCUCGGGUUACCGAAUUCAGACAAACUCCGAAUGCCAAAUAAUUUAACUUGGGAGUCAGAAUGUGGGUGAUAAGGUCCAUAUUCGAAAGGGAAACAGCCCAGACCACCAGCUAAGGUCCCAAAAUAUAUGUUAAGUGGAAAAGGAUGUGGCGUUGCCCAGACAACUAGGAUGUUGGCUUAGAAGCAGCCAUCAUUUAAAGAGUGCGUAAUAGCUCACUAGUCGAGUGACACUGCGCCGAAAAUGUACCGGGGCUAAACAUAUUACCGAAGCUGUGGAUUGUCCUUUGGACAAUGGUAGGAGAGCGUUCUAAGGGCGUUGAAGCAUGAUCGCAAGGACAUGUGGAGCGCUUAGAAGUGAGAAUGCCGGUGUGAGUAGCGAAAGACGGGUGAGAAUCCCGUCCACCGAUUGACUAAGGUUUCCAGAGGAAGGCUCGUCCGCUCUGGGUUAGUCGGGUCCUAAGCUGAGGCCGACAGGCGUAGGCGAUGGAUAACAGGUUGAUAUUCCUGUACCACCAUUAUUCGUUUUAAGCGAUGGGGGGACGCAGUAGGAUAGGCGAAGCGUGCUGUUGGAGUGCACGUCCAAGCAGUGAGAUUGAGUGUUAGGCAAAUCCGGCACUCUUAAGAUUGAGCUGUGAUGGGGAGAGGAACUUGUUCCUCGAGUCGUUGAUUUCACACUGCCGAGAAAAGCCUCUAGCUAGAAUAACGGUGCCCGUACCGCAAACCGACACAGGUAGUCAAGAUGAGAAUUCUAAGGUGAGCGAGCGAACUCUCGUUAAGGAACUCGGCAAAAUGACCCCGUAACUUCGGGAGAAGGGGUGCUCUUUGAGGUUCACGCUUCGAAGAGCCGCAGUGAAUAGGCCCAAGCGACUGUUUAUCAAAAACACAGGUCUCUGCUAAACCGUAAGGUGACGUAUAGGGGCUGACGCCUGCCCGGUGCUGGAAGGUUAAGAGGAGUGGUUAGCGCAAGCGAAGCUACGAAUCGAAGCCCCAGUAAACGGCGGCCGUAACUAUAACGGUCCUAAGGUAGCGAAAUUCCUUGUCGGGUAAGUUCCGACCCGCACGAAAGGCGUAACGAUUUGGGCACUGUCUCAACGAGAGACUCGGUGAAAUCAUAGUACCGGUGAAGAUGCCGGUUACCCGCGACAGGACGGAAAGACCCCGUGGAGCUUUACUGUAGCCUGAUAUUGAAAUUCGGUACAGUUUGUACAGGAUAGGUAGGAGCCUUAGAAGCGUGAGCGCUAGCUUACGUGGAGGCAUUGGUGGGAUACUACCCUAAUUGUAUUGGAUUUCUAACCCGCAGCACUUAUCGUGCUGGGAGACAGUGUCAGGCGGGCAGUUUGACUGGGGCGGUCGCCUCCUAAAGAGUAACGGAGGCGCUCAAAGGUUCCCUCAGAAUGGUUGGAAAUCAUUCAUAGAGUGUAAAGGCAUAAGGGAGCUUGACUGCGAGACCUACAAGUCGAGCAGGGUCGAAAGACGGACUUAGUGAUCCGGUGGUUCCGCAUGGAAGGGCCAUCGCUCAACGGAUAAAAGCUACCCCGGGGAUAACAGGCUUAUCUCCCCCAAGAGUUCACAUCGACGGGGAGGUUUGGCACCUCGAUGUCGGCUCAUCGCAUCCUGGGGCUGUAGUCGGUCCCAAGGGUUGGGCUGUUCGCCCAUUAAAGCGGUACGCGAGCUGGGUUCAGAACGUCGUGAGACAGUUCGGUCCCUAUCCGUCGUGGGCGUAGGAAAUUUGAGAGGAGCUGUCCUUAGUACGAGAGGACCGGGAUGGACAUACCUCUGGUGUACCAGUUGUCGUGCCAACGGCAUAGCUGGGUAGCUAUGUAUGGACGGGAUAAGUGCUGAAAGCAUCUAAGCAUGAAGCCCCCCUCGAGAUGAGAUUUCCCAACUUC